rnacentral:rRNA from 1 species
GAUGAACGCUGGCGGCGUGCCUAAUACAUGCAAGUCGAGCGAACAGACGAGGAGCUUGCUCCUUCGACGUUAGCGGCGGACGGGUGAGUAACACGUAGGUAACCUACCUAUAAGACUCGGAUAACUUCGGGAAACCGGAGCUAAUACCGGAUAAUAUUUCGAACCGCAUGGUUCGAUAGUGAAAGAUGGCUUUGCUAUCACUUAUAGAUGGACCUGCGCCGUAUUAGCUAGUUGGUAAGGUAACGGCUUACCAAGGCAACGAUACGUAGCCGACCUGAGAGGGUGAUCGGCCACACUGGAACUGAGACACGGUCCAGACUCCUACGGGAGGCAGCAGUAGGGAAUCUUCCGCAAUGGGCGAAAGCCUGACGGAGCAACGCCGCGUGAGUGAUGAAGGUCUUCGGAUCGUAAAACUCUGUUAUUAGGGAAGAACAAACGUGUAAGUAACUGUGCACGUCUUGACGGUACCUAAUCAGAAAGCCACGGCUAACUACGUG